GAUGAACGCUGACAGAAUGCUUAACACAUGCAAGUCUUUGGUGAAGCUGUGCUUGCACCGCCUAGCCAAGGCGGACGGGUGAGUAACGCGUAAGGAACUUGCCCUGCAGUCAGGGAUAACAGACGGAAACGACUGAUAAGACCUGGUAAAGUCAGGCGGACUCAUGUCCAGCCUGAUGAAAAGAGAUGCUGCAGGAGAGCCUUGCGUCCUAUUAGCUUGUUGGUGGGGUAACGGCCCACCAAGGCAAUGAUAGGUAGCCGGCCUGAGAGGGUGGACGGCCACAAGGGGACUGAGAUACGGCCCUUACUCCUACGGGAGGCGGCAGUGGGGAAUAUUGGACAAUGGGGGCAACCCUGAUCCAGCAAUUCUGUGUGCACGAUGAAGGUUUUCGGAUUGUAAAGUGCUUUCAGCAGGGAAGAAAAAAAUGACGGUACCUGCAGAAGAAGCGACGGCUAAAUACGUG
rnacentral:rRNA from 1 species